AUAGUGUUUGACGUUUGCAGUCUGGAGGUGUAUGGUUGGAUCCCUGAAACCGAACCCUCAGAAAGACGCAAUUUGUAGGAAAGUUUGAGGGAAUUUCGGUCGAGGUGUAAAGGUCGGAGAGAAUCUCCGGUCCGAGAAAUGAUAACCCGUUCUAAACUGGUGGAACAACUCAGAGACUAUCAGAUCCGAUCGCAGCACAAGUGCUCCGCUCUCGCUAUCUUCUCUCCCAAACCCCAUAUCACUUCCCGGGCUGAUGUUGCUGUGGCUAUCUUGUGGGCCUUAUUCUUUAGUGUGCUUCUUGUAUCAUCCUGUAUGACCUUUUACUUCAGAUAUUUCCAUCUUUCUUCCAUCACCGUCUGCCUUGUUAUUCUUCUUCUUAUUCGACUAAGAGCUUCUAAGAAGGCAUUUGCAAGGAAGAAAGAAAGAAGAUUGUUGUUACCUUUGUCCAUGUGAACAUCUAUAGCCAGUGGUGUAAAGGUAGCACAAUAGCUUGGUCAAUUUGUUCUGUUGCUCACUUCUAAGUUCUGAUACAUGUGGAUUUUAUUUAAACUUUAUAUGCUUGGAGUACUGAUCUUGAUCAACAAGAAUUCUCACCAUCCUCCUGAAAUAGAUGCUUCUGUGCAGGUACCAACUUCCUCUUCCCUGGUUAGUGUAAAGAUGUUAUCUGAAAUGAAAAGGCAGUAUUCAAAUGAAGUUACAGUUGUGUCCUGACUGAGCUUUGAAAAACAUACCAGAGAAGUUGUAUCAAGUUAAUCUGUUGCCCUUUGAGAAGUCAUUCUUCCCGUAAGGUUUGUUUCCAAACACACCAAAAGAACUGUUUCUUUCAAUGAAGCUAUGAAUUCAAUUUUGGUAGGAAA